rnacentral:tRNA from 1 species
GCCGGAGUGGCGGAAUAGGUAGACGCAAGGGACUUAAAAUCCCUCGUAUGGUAACGUACGUGCCGGUUCAAUUCCGGCCUCCGGCA